rnacentral:lncRNA from 1 species
GAAUGACUGAAAAAUGAUUCACGGAUUCAAUUAUAAUCUUUCUUACUUUCGAGAUAAGCAAAGCAUGCAAAGUCGUACUUACUUUACUCUUUCUACCGAUCAGGAGAAUACAAUUUCUCCUCUGUUUUAGUCAUUUUUUUUUCAGUUUUCAGUAAAAGUAAAUAGCAGAAUCGUGGCUAGGGAACUAUACUAGUGACCUACCUUAUUUUAUUGUAGAAAUUUUCGGGAUCAAU